UGCCAGAUGUAACUCUUGAUCUGUAGGCAC
rnacentral:misc_RNA from 1 species